GCCCAGCUAGCUCAGUUGGUAGAGCGUGGGACUCUUAAUCCUAGGGUCGUGGGUUCGAACCCCACGUUGGGCG
rfam:Mus musculus chromosome X, GRC primary reference assembly.